AAUAUUGGUCAAUGGAGGCAACUCUGAACCAGCCACGUCGCGUGAAGGAUGACGGCCCUACGGGUUGUAAACUUUUUUUAUACAGGAAUAAAGUGAGUCACGUGUGACUUUUUGCAUGUACGGUAUGAAUAUGGAUCGGCUACCGCCGUGCCAGCAGCCGCGGUAAUACGGAAGAGCCAAGCGUUAUCCGGAUUUAUUGGGUUUAAAGGGUGCACAGGCGGAAGAUUAAGUCGGCGGUGAAAUUUUGCAGCUUAACUGUAAAAGUGCCAUCGGUACUGGUUUUCUUGAGUGUGGAUGAAGUAGGCGGAAUUUGUGGUGUAGCGGUGAAAUGCAUAGAUAUCACGAGGAACUCCGAUUGCGCAGGCAGCUUACUAGGCCAUAACUGACGCUCAGGCACGAAGGCGUGGGGAUCAAACAGG
rnacentral:rRNA from 1 species